rnacentral:rRNA from 1 species
UACGAAGGGUGCGAGCGUUGUUCGGAAUUAUUGGGCGUAAAGGGUUCGUAGGCGGGAACAUAAGUCGAGUGUGAAAUCUCCAAGCUUAACUUGGAACGUGCAUUCGAAACUGUAUUUCUUGAAUGUUGGGAGAGGGAAGUAGAAUUCCAGGUGUAGGAGUGACAUCCGUAGAGAUCUGGAGGAAUACCGGAGGCGAAAGCGACUUCCUGGCCAACAUUGACGCUGAGGAACGGAAAGCGUGGGGAGCAAACAGG